UACGGGGGAGCAAGCGUUGUUCGGAUUUACUGGGCGUAAAGGGCGUGUAGGCGGCCACCGCAAGUCGGUUGUGAAAUCUCCGGGCUUAACCCGGAAAGGUCAACCGAUACUGCGGGGCUAGAGUGCAGAAGGGGCAACUGGAAUUCUCGGUGUAGCGGUGAAAUGCGUAGAUAUCGAGAGGAACACCUGCGGCGAAGGCGGGUGCUGGGCUGACACUGACGCUGAAACGCGAAAGCUAGGGGAGCGAACGGG
rnacentral:rRNA from 1 species